GAAGAUUCCUCACCCUCCGACACAACCGCGGGUGUUGUUCGUAACCGCAACGCCGCCUCGUGGGCGGCAACACGGAUGUCGUCAGGAGUAGAGCUAAGAGGGAAGGGAAGAGAGUUGACAAGAUGCGGGAAGUUGAGACGAGCAUCCCGACCACGGAAGUGGUAGGCAGCGACGUCAUAGGCCGCUGCUGCCAUCUCCGGGGUCUCGAAGCUCCCCAACCAAAUUCUCGUCUUCUUUCCCGGCUCUCGAAUCUCCG
rnacentral:misc_RNA from 1 species